rnacentral:rRNA from 1 species
AUGAGCGCUGGCUGGAGGACGCUGCUGCUUCGCAUCGGCGACAGGUGCCCCGAGUACGGGGGAACCGCCGACCACAAGGAGCACAUCGAAAUCUGUUACAAUGUGCUUUCUCGUGAAUAUGAACACUCCAAAGAUGAUAUUUUUGAGUUUCUCCUUCAGUGUGCAGAACAAUUACCUCACAAGAUUCCUUUCUUUGGAGUUUUGAUAGGUUUGUUAAAUUUAGAAAAUGAAGAUUUUUCCAAGGGUAUCGUGGAUGCAACACAGGCAAACCUACAGGAUGCUUUGCAUACUGAAAACCGUGAUAGGAUCAGGAUAUUGCUGCGGUUUCUCUGUGGCCUGAUGUGCAGCAAAGUUAUAUCCCCAAAUUCCAUUAUUGAGACAUACGAGACACUUUUAUCAUCUGCUGCAACUAUAUUGGAUGAGGAUGCUGGAAAUGCUUCUUGGCAACCACGUGCUGAUUUUUAUGUUUAUUGUAUUUUGGCUUCCCUUCCAUGGGGUGGUUCAGAAUUGUUCGAGCAAGUCCCGGAUGAACUUGAGAGGGUUCUGGUUGGUAUACAGUCUUACAUAAGUAUCAGAAGGCAUUUUGAUGAUAUUGCUUUCUCAGUCUUCGAGACGGAUGAAGGCAACUCUCCCAAUAAGAAGGAUUUCAUGGAAGAUCUAUGGGAGCGUAUGCAACUUCUUUCUCGUAAUGGAUGGAAGGUUAAAAGUGUUCCAAAACCUCACUUGUCGUUUGAAGCUCAGUUAGUAGUUGGAAAAUCUCACCGUUUCCACCCAGUUAGUUACCCACCGCCUGCUUUCACGAUGUCAUCUUCUGAGAUAUUAAAAGGGCAAGAGAUGCAUGAAGCCAAUCUAAAGUAUCCUCAAAGGCUUUGUAGGCUCCAUAUAUUUCCAACAAAUAAAGCUGAGAAUAUGCAACCUGUAGACCGUUUUGUUGUUGAGGAAUACAUAUUGGAUGUGCUGCUUUUCUUCAAUGGAUGUCGCAAAGAAUGUGCAUUUUAUCUGGUCAGCCUUCCUGUGUCUUUUCGGUAUGAAUACCUGAUGGCUGAGACCAUAUUUUCACAGCUACUAUUGCUGCCGAAUCCACCUUUCAGGCCAAUCUACUAUACGUUGGUUAUCAUCGAUCUUUGCAAGGCUUUGCCAGCCGCAUUUCCAUCUGUGGUGGUAGCAGCAGUACACGCUCUUUUUGACAGAAUAAGUAACAUGGAUACAGAGUGCCGCACCAGACUUAUCCUAUGGUUUUCACAUCAUUUGUCAAAUUUUCAAUUCGUUUGGCCUUGGCAGGAGUGGGCCAAUGUGAAGGGCCUACCAAAAUGGGCUCCACAACGUGUUUUUGUCCAAGAAGUACUAGAAAGGGAAAUUCGGUUGUCCUAUUUCGAGAAAAUCAAGCAGAGUAUUGAAGAUGCUGCUGAGUUGGAAGGGUUGUUACCCCCAAAAGCUGGCCCUAAUUUCAGAUAUCAUACAGAUGAAAGCAAAGAAAGCACCGAAGGCCACAGGCUAUCCAAGGAACUUGUUAGCAUGGUUAGAGGAAGGAAGACUACACGUGAUAUUAUUUUGUGGGCUGAGGAACAAAUAGUUCCUGCAAAUGGAGCCAAAUUCGCAGUUGAUGUUGUUAGUCAGACACUUCUUGACAUUGGUUCAAAAAGUUUCACCCAUCUUAUCACUGUUUUGGAGAGAUAUGGUCAAAUAAUUUCCAAACUGUGCCCAGAUGAGGAAAUGCAGUUAUUGUUGAUGGAUGAAGUCAGUGCUUACUGGAAGAACAGUACCCAGAUGACUGCUAUAGCUAUUGAUAGAAUGAUGGGUUAUCGCUUAAUUUCCAACUUGGCUAUAGUCAAGUGGGUUUUUUCUCCUGCUAAUGUCAACCAAUUUCAUGUGUCGGAUCGUCCAUGGGAGAUUCUUAGGAAUACUGUUAGUAAGACAUACAAUCGAAUCAGUGAUCUUCGGAAGGAAAUUCAGACACUGAGGAAAAGUAUUCAAGUUGCUAAAGAGGCUAGUGCAAAAGCCAUCAAAGAAUUGGAGGAGGCUAAAUCAAUACUUGAAAUCGUAGAGGGCCAACCUGUGUCAUCUGAAAGACCAGGCAGGCUGAGACGACUUCAAGGUUUUGCUGACAAAGCAAAAGAAGAGGAAGUAACUAUUGAAGAAUCGUUAGAGGCAAAGCAGGCUCUCCUUGCCCGGGGGCUUGAAGAAGGCAAAGAAUUGCUUAGGUUAUUAUUCAAGAGCUUUGUUGAUGUGCUUACUGAACGCCUGCCACCUGUUUCUGCUGAUGGAGAUGUUCCUAACCUACGCACUGGAGAUCCUAAUGUAACAUUUCCAGCCAGCGAUCCUGAAGCGGCAACUAUGGAGAUAGACGAUGAAAAUGGAGCAGAUAACAAUAGUCAAGUGAAUGGUGAAAAUACAGAAGUUGGUUAUACUAUUGGAGAGCUUGAGCAAUGGUGCUUAUGCACAUUGGGGUAUCUAAAGUCAUUUUCUCGACAGUAUGCAACAGAGAUUUGGUCUCACAUUGGCAUGUUGGACGAGGAGGUUUUCGUUGAGAGUAUUCACCCUCUCAUUCGGAAAGCCGCAUUCUCCGGUUUGUGCAGACAGAUGAACCAGUGA